rnacentral:rRNA from 1 species
UACGUAGGGGGCGAGCGUUGUCCGGAAUCAUUGGGCGUAAAGCGCGUGUAGGCGGCCCGGUAAGUCCGCUGUGAAAGUCCAGGGCUCAACCCUGGGAUGCCGGUGGAUACUGUCGGGCUCGAGUCCGGAAGAGGCGAGUGGAAUCCUGGUGUAGCGGUGAAAUGCGCAGAUAUCAGGAGGAACACCAAUGGCGAAGGCAGCUCGCUGGGACGUGACUGACGCUGAGACGCGAAAGCGUGGGGAGCAAACAGG